rnacentral:rRNA from 1 species
AAUAUUGGUCACUUGAUGCAACUCUGACCCAGCCUCGUCUCGUUAAGGAUGACGGCCCUGCGGGUUGUUAAUUUCUUUUAUACAGGAAUAAAGUGAGUCCCGUGUAACUUUUUGCCUGUUCUGUAUGAAUAAGGUUCUGCUAACUCCGGGCCACCAGCCGCGGUAAUACGGAGGAUCCAAGCGUUAUCCGGAUUUAUUGGGUUUAAAGGGUGCGCAGGCGGAAGAUUAAGUCGGCGGUGAAAUUUUGCAGCUCAACUGUAAAAGUGCCAUCGAUACUGGUUUUCUUGAGUGUGGAUGAAGUAGGCGGAAUUUGUGGUGUAGCGGUGAAAUGCAUAGAUAUCACGAGGAACUCCGCUUGCGCAGGCAGCUUACUAGGCCAUAACUGACGCUCAGGCACGAAGGCGUGGGGAUCAAAC